UGCACCUCCGGCUUCACCUUCAGCAGCUACACCAUGAACUGGGUGCGCCAGAGCCCCGGGAAGGGGCUGGAGUGGGUCGCUGGGAUCUACAGCACUGGUUCCGGCACCUACUACGCGCCGUCGGUGAAGGGCCGGUUCACGAUCUCCCGGGACAACGGGCAGAGCUCGGUGACGCUGCAGAUGAACAACCUCAGGGACGAGGAUUCCGACACCUAUUUCUGCGCCAGGGGUUAUGGGAUCAAUGGCCAAGAGUUGGAGUCGACAGUUGAGAUUUGGGGUCAGGGGUUGAGAUUUCAGUCAACAGUUGAC